GUAUUAUUCUAUUACAGUUGCAGAAUUACAGUGGUUUUACAAUAUUGUCAUUAAUUUAUUGAUUACAGUUUCAGAAUCAUGGCUGUAUUCUGGUGUACACUAUAUGCAUUUUUAUUAAUUUUAUGAACCGGGUCGUAUAUUUGUUUUCUAAUAUCCUACAAUAGUCACCACGUAGUUACCACAUUAACACCAUAGUACGUUACCACGUAGUUACGAUAGUUACCACGAUACGUACCACGUACGUACAUUACCACGAUAGUUAUCACGAUAGUUACCACAAUAGUUACCACGAUAGUUACCACAAUAGUUACCACGUAGUUACAUUACCACGAUAGUUACCACAAUAGUUACCACAGUUACCAAGUAGUUACCACAGUACCACAAUAGUUACGAUAGUUACCACGUAGUUACCACGAUAGUUAUCACGAUAGUUACCACAAUAGUUACCACAGUACCACGAUAGGUACGAUAGUCACCACGUAGUUACCACAUAGUGACCACAGUUACCACGUAGUUACGAUAGUUACCACGUAGUUACCACAUUACCACGAUGGUUACCACGUAGUUACCACGAUAGUUACCACAGUACCACGAUAGGUACGAUAGUCACCACGUAGUUACCACAUAGUGACCACAGUUACCACGUAGUUACCACAUUACCACGAUGGUUACCACGUAGUUACCAUGAUAGUUACCACGUAGUUACCACGAUAGUUACAAUAGUUACCACGUAGUUACGAUAGUUACCACGAUAGUUACCAUGUAGUUACCACGAUAUUAUCAACGAUAGUUACCACGUAGUUACAUUACCACGAUAGUUACGAUAGUCACCACGUAGUUACCACGAUAGUUGCGACGUAGUUACCACGUAGUUACCACAUUACCACGAUAGUUACGAUAGUCACCACGUAGUUACCACG
ensembl:lncRNA